rnacentral:rRNA from 1 species
CGGGGGGGGGGCAAGCGUUGUUCGGGAAUUACUGGGGCGUAAAGGGCGCGCAGGCGGCCUGGCAAGUCCUACGUGAAAUCCCACAGCUCAACUGUGGAACUGCGUGGGAUACUGCCAGGCUUGAGUCCGGGAGAGGAGAGUGGAAUUCCCAGUGUAGCGGUGAAAUGCGUAGAUAUUGGGAGGAACACCGGUGGCGAAGGCGGCUCUCUGGACCGGUACUGACGCUGAGGCGCGAAAGCUAGGGGAGCAAACGGGAUUAGAUACCCCGGUAGUCCUAGCCGUAAACUUUGAGCACUUUGUGUGGCGGGUAUCGACCCCUGCCGUGCAGAAGCUAACGCAUUAAGUGCUCCGCCUGGGGAGUACGGUCGCAAAGGCUG